rnacentral:rRNA from 1 species
UACGGAGGGUGCAAGCGUUAUCCGGAUUCACUGGGUUUAAAGGGUGCGUAGGUGGGCAGGUAAGUCAGUGGUGAAAUCUCUGGGCUUAACCCGGAAACUGCCAUUGAUACUAUCUGUCUUGAAUACCGUGGAGGUUAGCGGAAUAUGUCAUGUAGCGGUGAAAUGCUUAGAUAUGACAUAGAACACCAAUUGCGAAGGCAGCUGGCUACACGAAUAUUGACACUGAUGCACGAAAGCGUGGGGAUCAAACAGG